CCGGCGCUUGUGGGCCACGAGAGCUCGGACCCUCUGAUCGUGGAGCCAGGCGCAUGAUCCUCUUCUUCUCAUCUUCCUCCUGCUCUGUUUCAGUUCUGGCGCAUCCUCCUCUCCCGCUAAGGAUCACGCCCCAAUUUCUGAUGGCAAACAGCAUUUGCUAGAGUUUGAGCAGAGACUUUUCGGAUCCAACAAGGCUGUCGAAGCCGAAAAUUCUCCCAUCCGAUCCACAUCCAAUUUUCAACUUGAGGGGCCAGACAUCUUCGGAUUGGAGAAAAUAGUUGUUUGAGUUAUCUCGUGUGCAGAACGGAGCAAUAAAACUACGGAAGUACAUCAUGAUCUUUAAAACAUGUAAUGAUGGAUAAUGUUUUGGAAAUAUACCUAGUUUCAGUUUUGGAAAUAUAUCUAGGAUGUACUCCAUUGAUUGGUGAUGGUUUUUCUAUUGAUUGUACUUGAACGUGAACACUUUCAAUCUGUAACUCAUAGCCUGCUGAUGGUUUUUUUAUU